CGACGCGAGCGAUUCGCCGCUCAUGACAUCGCAAGAAGUCCAUUNGAACCUUAUCAUUUAGAGAAGGAAGAAGUCAUAACAGGGUUUCUGUAGGUGAACCUGCGGAAGGAUCAUUG
rnacentral:rRNA from 1 species